rnacentral:lncRNA from 1 species
CUGGGCUCCUGCUUGCAGAGGCUGGACGUCCAAACCCUUCCCCUAAUGCAGAGAUGACUCAGAACAACUGACAUGAAGGCAGAGUGAGGCCAGGACACAGUCAGGCCAAACGCCCCCAAUCCACGCCAGGGGAGACUGUGCCCAGGGCUGCGGCACACACGGCCUGAAGCCGGCUGCAGGGAGUGGGCUUGGCCAGCCGCUGGCUACAGCGGGAACUGUCCAGCCUGUGGCCAGGGAGCAGCUGAGGGAGGCAGGAUGGCAGGAAGUGGCCGGGCAGCUCAGGCCACCUGCCACAGGUGGUCGUGGAAAGAGAGUCCCUCAAACUGAGCUUGCAAACUGAAGUCGUAAACUAACCUGAGAAAGGCAAGUACAAAUAACAGGAAUCUCAAAAUAAACAAGCUGGAGAUCUUAAAAGAGAUGAAAGAAGUCCUGACUGUCACACAGUCCCUGGUCUGACUGAGCGGCCAGGCAGGAGGAACACCCGUGCUGAGAGGCCACCCCACAGGAUCUGGGCUUGUGUUACCCACAAGUUCAAGGAGCAGAGGAUGACUGUCCGCUCGGCAAAUGCUCACUGGCACUGCUGUGUCUGCAGCAGGCUGGGCAUGGCUGGGGCUCUGGGACUCUGGGACUGCAAGGUCCAGUGUGAUGGGUUCUGAAGCCGGCACCGCAGAGCCACCCGGUGAGGUUCCAGCCACCAGCGAGGAGGGCACUAGGUCACCGACACUGGGCUGGGGCCUCGUCUAAUCUUAGGUUGCGAGUCUCUUUGAGAAGGGUACAGAGGUGAACGCACUCCAGAGGGGAGGGAGGGAGACCCUGACCGCCAAGGUGACACACACCAGGGAGGGAAAUGGAUGGUGCCUGUCAAGGUGACACACACCAGGGCGUGGAGGGGGGCUCUGCCGCUGACUGACGGUGACCUCAGACAUGUGGCCCCGUAGACACCAGCCUCCUGGGUGUUGGGACUGGCGCUAGACCUGGGAAUCACUCAGCACCGGCCCGGCACACAGCAGAUGCUCCGUGAACUCAGCCUCGCUCCCAGGGACACGCCCCCCACACCCACCGUGCUUGCCUGAGCCAGGAGCCCCACGCCCAGGCCCCGCCCGCGCCUCCUA